GGCGAACGCUGGCGGCGCGCUUAACACAUGCAAGUCGAGCGAUGAAAUUUCGACAGAUCCCUUCGGGGUGAAGAUGAAAUGGAUUAGCGGCGGACGGGUGAGUAACACGUGAGUAACCUGCCUUUGACAUUGGGAUAGCCUCGGGAAACUGGGAUUAAUACCAAAUGACACUAACUGAUCACAUGAUCAAUUAGUCAAAGAAAUUCGGUCAAAGAUGGACUCGCGGCUGAUUAGCUAGUUGGUGAGGUAACGGCCCACCAAGGCGACGAUCAGUAGCCGGCCUGAGAGGGUGUUCGGCCACAUUGGAACUGAGACACGGUCCAAACUCCUACGGGAGGCAGCAGUGGGGAAUAUUGCACAAUGGGGGAAACCCUGAUGCAGCGACGCCGCGUGAGCGAAGAAGGCCUUCGGGUCGUAAAGCUCUUUUAUGAGGGAAGAUAAUGACGGUACCUCAAGAAAAAGCCCCGGCUAACUACGUG
rnacentral:rRNA from 1 species